rnacentral:lncRNA from 1 species
AUGUCAUCAGUGUUGAAGAAGACAGGUGAGCAUGUCUGCCUGUUCGGUGACUCCAAGGGCCAUUUUUGUUCGUCACCACAUCGUAGCACAAGAGGCAAAGGAGGCUGUUUCUGGACAGACUGCUCGUCCUGUAGCCCUCUGCAGGACAGCAUGCUUCAGAAUAGGAGAAGGUUACAGUCCUGGAACGAGGUGGACGUGAGUUAACUCCUGACUCCCAUCAUUCAUGAAUUUUGUGACCUCAGUCAAAACUGUGGAACCUUCCCUGAGGCUCCAUUUUCUCGAUAGGUGGUGAUAGUAUGCUUUCUUGCUGGGCUCAUAACAAGGUUUCAGUGAGCGUGUACUGCCUGGCACUUAACUGUGCUACCUGGCACUGAAGGGAGAUAGAUGGUCCCUGACUUGCCACCUCCUCCUUCCCUCUCCAAACUUAAUAUCCAAGGUCAAGGAAACUGCCAAGGCAGGUUUCUUUCUGUGUGGACAGGUUUCCUCUGUUGGGAACGCCUCUGUGUGAACCAGUGGAGUGACCCCUGAGUCACUUCUGUUCUCCCUGGAUUUAAGGUCUUGACCUGUCCCUAGUCUUUUACACAUGUAACCUUUGUUACAUGCCUUGACAACGGACCAAAUGCCACCUAAAGUGCUCUUUAUCGUGUGAGUGAAUUUCAGUAUAUUUUUUCAGAUAUUGCUUCCAUUUCAUUUAACUGGUCUGCCUUGCCUUUUUCUCAAGAAUUCAUUCUCUCCCUCUCUUUCCCCAGGGGAAAACACACUGGAACCCUUAUAAGAGUUCCCAAGUCUUUUUGAAUGUGGGUAAUCACUAGAUAGGGUGGGUGGGUGGAUGACAUUUUUUGUUUGUUUGUUUCUCUUUUGCCAGCAUCUUUUAAGUCAGGGUCCCUUCUGUUUUCUCAGGUGGCUCCCGUGACAAGAGUCUUUUGUUUCAGCUGGUAGGACCUAGGCCUAGAAUCCUGGAGGGUAUUUGGCUGCCACCAGGGUGGAGCCUGUUGUGCCUAAGCGCUAAAAGGCACUCUCAACUCUGAUGACUGGCAUUUUGCUUUUCUAAAAGAGUUUGCAUCUCAGAAAAUGCCAGUGGUGGGUAGACUCUGU